rnacentral:rRNA from 1 species
AGGGUUUGAUCAUGGCUCAGAACGUACGCUGGCGGCACGCCUAACACAUGCAAGUCGAACGAAGUAGCAAUACUUAGUGGCAGACGGGUGAGUAACAUGUAGGUAUCUGCCCUUUGGCCUGGAAUAACACGAGGAAACUUGUGCUAAUACCGGAUAAGUCUUUACGGAGAAAGCUUUAUGCACCAUUGGAUGAGCCUGCACUUGAUUAGUUUGUUGGUAGGGUAAUGGCCUACCAAGACUGUGAUCAAUAGCUGAUUUGAGAGGAUGAUCAGCCACAUUGGGACUGAGACACGGCCCAAACUCCUACGGGAGGCAGCAGUGGGGAAUCUUGCACAAUGGAGGAAACUCUGAUGCAGCGAUGCCGCGUGAGUGAAGAAGGCCCUUGGGUUGUAAAGCUCUUUCGUCGGGGAAGAAAAUGACUGUACCCGAAUAAGAAGGUCCGGCUAACUUCGUGCCAGCCGCCGCGGUAAUUC